AAUAUAAGAAACCAUGUUAGUUAACAACCACUGGCUUAAUUAAUUAGCUUGUAUACCAGAAAGUCUGUAUCCACGUUAGAUUAAUAAAUUUUGAUGGCUAACUAAAGAUUAUGUAAGCAAAUUUGGUGUCCAAUAGUCAUAAUUCAAAACUUUUCAUUUUUAUCUUUCAAGAGUUCUUUAUUAAUGUUUUCUAUUGUUUUUCAAAGAAAUAACUGUAGCCCACAGCAAUCCUCUCCCCAAUCUCCUUUUUUUUCUUUUUUUUUUUCUUUUAUGAUUCUAUACCUCCAAUUCUCACCCAAUCACCCUUACACUACGGCAACUCUGAAGCAAAGGAUGGCAAUUUGACAAUCGAAAUUGCACUUAACCUGGCACGUGAUAAAAGCUCUUCUCCAUGUUUCUCAACAUUUCGCCGGAAGAUGUGGGAGUUGUUCGCCGGAGCGAGAUCCAUCGCCAGAGGCGGCGGAGUUGUUCGCCAGCGGGACAUCCGACCACGUCGGUAGAUCGCCGGUGGAGGUGUGGCGCAUUCGUACAGAUAUGCUAGACAGUGCUGGGAGCUUUUUUUCAAUUUAUGUGGGAUUUUCUGGACCAUACCUCAGAAUGUCAUGAACCUUUUGAAUGGUUGACAGCAUCAGAAGACACAUAAAGCACUUAAACAGAUUUGGAGAACCAAACCUCUAUGCAUAUUCUGGAUUAUUUGGAUAGAGAGGAAUAGAGCUUGCUUUGAUGGGCAGAAAGAUCAUAUUUCUAGAAUAAA